AGGGCACCACCAGGAGUGGAGCCUGCGGCUUAAUUUGACUCAACACGGGGAAACUUACCCGGCCUGGACACUGGAAGGAUUGACAGAUUGAGAGCUCUUUCUUGAUUCAGUGGGUGGUGGUGCAUGGCCGUUCUUAGUUGGUGGAGCGAUUUGUCUGGUUAAUUCCGAUAACGAACGAGACUCUAGCCUAUUAAAUAGGCUCCCGGCUUUUAAACGCCGGGAGGACUUCUUAGAGGGACAGGUGGCGGUUCAGCCGCACGAAAGAGAGCAAUAACAGGUCUGUAAUGCCCUUUGUUGUCCGGGGCCGCACGCGCGCUACACUGAAGAGAUCAGCGUGCUUUAUGUUCCUGCUCCGACCGGAGUGGGGAACCCAGUGAACCUUCUUCGUGAUUGGGAUAGAAGAUUGUGAUUAUUCUUCUUGAACGAGGAAUUCCCAGUAAAUGCGAGUCAUAAGCUCGCGUUGAUUACGUCCCUGCCCUUUGUACACACCGCCCGUCGCUACUACCGAUUGAACGAUUU
rnacentral:rRNA from 1 species